rnacentral:rRNA from 1 species
AUUGAACGCUGGCGGCAGGCCUAACACAUGCAAGUCGAACGAGUGGCGGACGGGGGAGUAAUGUCUGGGAAACUGCCUGAUGGAGGGGGAUAACUACUGGAAACGGUAGCUAAUACCGCAUACCAUUGGAUGUGCCCAGAUGGGAUUAGCUAGUAGGUGGGGUAAAGGCUCACCUAGGCGACGAUCCCUAGCUGGUCUGAGAGGAUGACCAGCCAAACUGGAACUGAAAAAGGGUCCAGAAUCAUACGGGAGGCAGCAGGGGGGAAUAUUGCACAAGGGGCGCAAGCCUGAUGCAGCCAUGCAGCGUGUAUGAAGAAGGCCUUCGGGUUGUAAAGUACUUUCAGCGGGGAGGCGUUACCCGCAGAAGAAGCACCGGCUAACUCCGUGCCAGCAGCCGCGGUAAUAC